rnacentral:rRNA from 1 species
GAUGAACGCUAGCGGGAGGCUUAACACAUGCAAGUCGAGCGGCAGCACGGUUUUCGGACUGGUGGCGAGCGGCGCACGGGUGCGUAACGCGUAUGCAACCUGCCUUAUGCAGGGGGAUAGUCCAUGGAAACGUGGAAUAAUACCCCAUAACAUCAUUAGAUCACAUGGUUUGAUGAUCAAAGCUUCGGUGGCAUAAGAUGGGCAUGCGUCUGAUUAGUUAGUUGGUGAGGUAACGGCUCACCAAGGCUUCGAUCAGUAGGGGUUCUGAGAGGAAAAUCCCCCACACUGGUACUGAGACACGGACCAGACUCCUACGGGAGGCUG